GACGAACGCUGGCGGCGUGCUUAACACAUGCAAGUCGAACGGAAAGGCCCUGCUUUUGUGGGGUUCUCGAUUGGCGAACGGGUGAGUAACACGUGAGUAACCUGCCCUUGUCUUUCUGAUAACUUCUGGAAACUGGGGCUAAUACCCGGGAGGAUCUCCUGCUGCAUGGGGGGGGUUGGAAAGUGUCGGCGGUUGUGGAUGGACUCGAUGCUUAUCAGCUUGUUGGUGGGGUAGUGGCUUACCAAGGCUUUGACGGGUAGCCGGCCUGGGAGGGUGACCGGCGACAUUGGGACUGAGAUACGGCCCAGACGGCUACGGGAGGCAGCAGUGGGGAGUCUUGCACAAUGGGCGGAAGCCUGAUGCGGAAACGCCGCGUGCGGGAUGACGGCCUUCGGGUUGUAAACCGCUUUCGCCUGUGCCGAAGCGUGAGUGACGGUAAUGGGUAAAGAAGCACCGGCUAACUACGUG
rnacentral:rRNA from 1 species